UCUUAUGGAUGCGCAAACAGAGUGGUUUCUUGAGAUGGAAUCUACUCCCGGUGAAGAUGCUGUGAA
rnacentral:pre_miRNA from 1 species